rnacentral:rRNA from 1 species
GACGAACGCUGGCGGCGUGCUUAACACAUGCAAGUCGAACGGAAAGGCCCUGCUUUUGUGGGGUGCUCGAGUGGCGAACGUGUGAGUCACACGUGAGUAACCUGCCCUUGACUUUGGGAUAACUUCAGUAAACUGUGGCUAAUACCGGAUAGGAGGUCCUGCUGCAUGGUGGGGGUUGGAAAGUUUCGGCGGUUGGGGAUGGACUCGCGGCUUAUGAGCUUGUUGGUGGGGUAGUGGCUUACCAAGGCUUUGACGGGUAGCCGGCCUGAGCGGGUGACCGGCCACAUUGGGACGGAGAUACGGCCCAGACUCCUACGGGAGGCAGCAGUGGGGAAUAUUGCACAAUGGGCGGAAGCCUGAUGCAGCAACGCCGCGUGCGGGAUGACGGCCUUCGGGUUGUAAACCGCUUUCGCCUGUGACGAAGCGUGAGUGACGGUAAUGGGUAAAGAAGCACCGGCUAACUACGUG